rnacentral:tRNA from 1 species
GGGGAUUUAGCUUAGUGGUAGAGCGCUUGCCUAGCAAGCACAAGGUCCUGGGUUCAGUCCCCA